rnacentral:rRNA from 1 species
UACGUAGGGUGCGAGCGUUGUCCGGAAUUACUGGGCGUAAAGAGCUCGUAGGUGGUUUGUCGCGUUGUUCGUGAAAUCUCACGGCUUAACUGUGAGCGUGCGGGCGAUACGGGCAGACUGGAGUACUGCAGGGGAGACUGGAAUUCCUGGUGUAGCGGUGGAAUGCGCAGAUAUCAGGAGGAACACCGGUGGCGAAGGCGGGUCUCUGGGCAGUAACUGACGCUGAGGAGCGAAAGUGUGGGGAGCGAACAGG